rnacentral:rRNA from 1 species
GAAAAUCUAAGGUUUCUUGGGGAAGGUUCGUCCGCCCAAGGUAAGCCGGGAGCUAAGGCGAGGCCGAAAGGCGUAGUCGAUGCACAUACGGUAGAAAUUCCGUAGCCGGCGCAACUGUUAAGAUCACUGACACAUGAGUAUAGCUCUACCGGGCGUUGGUUGCCCCGGGCGUAAGCGAGCCGAAUGAGGCGAAGUGAGUGAAGCUUGUGGCGAGAAAAGGUGAUUGGAUUGGUUGUGCUGCCCGUACCGCAAACCGACACAGGUAGAUGAGGAGAAGAUCCUAAGGCCAUCGGGAGAAGGGUUGUUAAGGAACUAGGCAAAUUGACCCCGUAACUUCGGGAGAAGGGGUGCCUACGAGAGUAGGCCGCAGAGAAUCGGCCCAAGCAACUGUUUACCAAAAACACAGGUCUCUGCUAAAUCGAAAGAUGACGUAUAGGGGCUGACGCCUGCCCGGUGCUGGAAGGUUAAGAGGAGGACUUAGGGAAACCGAAGGUCUGAAUUGAAGCCCCAGUAAACGGCGGCCGUAACUAUAACGGUCCUAAGGUAGCGAAAUUCCUUGUCAGGUAAGUUCUGACCCGCACGAAAGGCGUAAUGAUUUGGGCACUGUCUCAACAGCCCGCCCGGCGAAAUUGUAGUACCGGUGAAGAUGCCGGUUACCCGCAACUAGACGGAAAGACCCCAUGGAGCUUUACUGCAGCUUAAUACUGAGAUUCGGUAAAUCAUGUACAGGAUAGGUGGGAGACUAAGAAGCCAGGCCGUCAGGUUUGGUGGAGUCGCCCUUGGGAUACCACCCUUGGUUUGCUGGGUUUCUAACCUGCGGCCCUGAAUCGGGUCGGGGGACACUGUUAGGCGGGCAGUUUGACUGGGGCGGUCGCCUCCUAAAAUGUAACGGAGGCGCUCAAAGGUUGGCUCAGCAUGGAUGGAAACCAUGCAAUGAGUGUAAACGUAUAAGCCAGCCUGACUGCGAGACCGACGGGUCGAGCAGAGACGAAAGUCGGAGUUAGUGAUCCGGUGGUAUGUGAGUGGAAAUGCCAUCGCUCAACGGAUAAAAGCUACCCUGGGGAUAACAGGCUGAUCUCCCCCAAGCGUCCACAGCGACGGGGAGGUUUGGCACCUCGAUGUCGGCUCGUCGCAUCCUGGGGCUGAAUUAGGUCCCAAGGGUUUGGCUGUUCGCCAAUUAAAGCGGCACGCGAGCUGGGUUCAGAACGUCGUGAGACAGUUCGGUCCCUAUCUGUUGCGGGCGUAGGAGAUUUGAAGGGAGCUGACCUUAGUACGAGAGGACCGGGUUGGACGUACCUCUGGUGUACCAGUUGUUCUGCCAAGGGCAUGGCUGGGUAGCUACGUACGGACGAGAUAAACGCUGAAGGCAUCUAAGCGUGAAACUCUCCCUGAGAUAAGAUCUCCACUGAGGCUCGACGUAGACUAUGUCGUUGAUAGGUCAGAGGUGGAAGCACAGCAAUGUGUGCAGCUGACUGAUACUAAUAAGCCGAAAGCUUGACCA